AUGAACGCUGGCGGCGUGCCUAAUACAUGCAAGUCGAGCGAACAGACGAGGAGCUUGCUCCUCUGACGUUAGCGGCGGACGGGUGAGUAACACGUGGAUAACCUACCUAUAAGACUGGGAUAACUUCGGGAAACCGGAGCUAAUACCGGAUAAUAUAUUUAACCGCAUGGUUCAAUAGUGAAAGACGGUUUUGCUGUCACUUAUAGAUGGAUCCGCGCCGCAUUAGCUAGUUGGUAAGGUAACGGCUUACCAAGGCAACGAUGCGUAGCCGACCUGAGAGGGUGAUCGGCCACACUGGAACUGAGACACGGUCCAGACUCCUACGGGAGGCAGCAGUAGGGAAUCUUCCGCAAUGGGCGAAAGCCUGACGGAGCAACGCCGCGUGAGUGAUGAAGGUCUUCGGAUCGUAAAACUCUGUUAUUAGGGAAGAACAAAUGUGUAAGUAACUAUGCACGUCUGGACGGUACCUAAUCAGAAAGCCACGGCUAACUACGG
rnacentral:rRNA from 1 species